AGUCGGUCAACUGGUGCCAAAGAGGGACAGAACUUUCUUUAUGUAUGCCACAACAGCAGCAAGAAUACUCAUUGCAAAGUAUUGGAAGACACAAGAUCUACCCACCUUGGAAGAAUGGCAGAUGAAGGUGAUGGACUAUAUGGAGUUGGCGGAAAUGACUGGUAGAAUCCGAGACCAGGGAGAAGAGUCGAUGGAGGAAGAUUGGAAAAAGUUUAAAGACUAUCUACAGAAAUAUUGUAAAAUUAAUGAAUGCUAGAAUGAUGUUGGAUAGAAACUAAGUGAACUUUAGCUGAAAGGUUACAAGGAAUAUGAAAAAAUGGAUUAUUAAUAUGUAAAAAUCUAAAAUUACAAUACUUUAUGAUAAUGAUUAGGAUACAUAAAGAGGGGAGGGAUUUGCUGAACGAAAUAAUUGAACUGGAAUACAAAAAAGGGAGGUGUGAGGAGGUCCGGGAACUAAGCAAAUGAAGGUUAAGUAAUGGAAGGAAUGAUUUGUUUUUAAAUAUUUUUACUUUGCAUUUUCUUUUGUGUGUGUGUGUGUGUGUGUGUGUGUGUUUUGUAAUAUCUUGAAAACUUCAAUAAAUAUCUUAU